UACGUAGGGGGCUAGCGUUGUCCGGAAUCAUUGGGCGUAAAGAGCGCGUAGGCGGCCCGACAAGUCCGCUGUGAAAGUCAGGGGCUCAACCCUUGGAUGCCGGUGGAUACUGUCGGGCUAGAGUCCGGAAGAGGCGAGUGGAAUUCCUGGUGUAGCGGUGAAAUGCGCAGAUAUCAGGAGGAACACCGAUGGCGAAGGCAGCUCGCUGGGACGGUACUGACGCUGAGGCGCGAAAGCGUGGGGAGCAAACAGG
rnacentral:rRNA from 1 species